rnacentral:rRNA from 1 species
AUGAACGCUGGCGGCGUGCCUAAUACAUGCAAGUCGAGCGAACGGACGAGGAGCUUGCUCCGCUGACGUUAGCGGAGGGCGGGUGAGUAACGCGAGGAUAACCUACCUAUAAGACGGGGAUAACUUCGGGAAACCGGAGCUAAUACCGGAUAAUAUAUUGAACCGCGUGGGUCGAUAGUGAAAGACGGUUUUGCGGGCACGUAUAGAUGGAUCUGCGCCGGAUUAGCUAGUUGGUAAGGUAACGGCUUACCAAGGCAACGAUGCGUAGCCGACCUGAGGGGGUGGUCGGCCACACUGGAACUGGGACACGGACCAGGCUCCUACGGGAGGCAGCAGUAGGGAAUCUUCCGCAAUGGGCGAAAGCAUGACGGAGCAACGCCGCGUGAGUGAUGAAGGUCUUCGGAUCGUAAAACUCUGUUAUUAGUGAAGAACAAAUGUGUAAGUAACUAUGCACGUCUUGACGGUACCUAAUCAGAAAGCCCCGGCUAACUACGUG